AGCAGCCGCGGUAAUUCCAGCUCCAAUAGCGUAUAUUAAAGUUGUUGCAGUUAAAAAGCUCGUAGUUGAAUUUCGGGAUCAGUACGUUGGUCGUGCCUUCGGUACGUACUGAUGUUACUGGUUUCUACCUUCUGAAGAACCGUCAUGUCAUUAAUUUGGUGUGGCGGGGAAUCAGGACUGUUACUUUGAAAAAAUUAGAGUGUUUAAAGCAGGCUCGCGCUUGAAUACAUUAGCAUGGAAUAAUGAAAUAGGACGUUCGAUCCUAUUUUGUUGGUUUCUAGGAUUGACGUAAUGAUUAAUAGGGAUAGUUGGGGGCAUUAGUAUUCAAUUGUCAGAGGUGAAAUUCUUGGAUUUAU
rnacentral:rRNA from 1 species